UAGGGAAUCUUCCACAAUGGACGCAAGUCUGAUGGAGCAACGCCGCGUGAGUGAAGAAGGUUUUCGGAUCGUAAAGCUCUGUUGUUGGUGAAGAAGGAUAGAGGUAGUAACUGGCCUUUAUUUGACGGUAAUCAACCAGAAAGUCACGGCUAACUACGUGCCAGCAGCCGCGGUAAUACGUAGGUGGCAAGCGUUGUCCGGAUUUAUUGGGCGUAAAGCGAGCGCAGGCGGAAGAAUAAGUCUGAUGUGAAAGCCCUCGGCUUAACCGAGGAACUGCAUCGGAAACUGUUUUUCUUGAGUGCAGAAGAGGAGAGUGGAAUUCCAUGUGUAGCGGUGGAAUGCAUAGAUAUAUGGAAGAACACCAGUGGCGAAGGCGACUCUCUGGUCUGCAACUGACGCUGAGGCUCGAAAGCAUGGGUAGCGAACAGG
rnacentral:rRNA from 1 species